GCGUCGAGGAUACGUCCACGCAACAUUCGAAUCUACUCCAGAGGCUACCACUGAAGAAUAACAGAUGACUUACAAGGAAAAUCAAUUACUAAUGAUAAAGAAGUACACAAAGCUUCAAUGAACACACUCAGCCCCAGUGAUUGUGAUAAAUUAAGAGACAAUGCAGGAAAGAUCUGUUCAGUUAGUGAAUGUAGGCUCCUCCCAGUGAGUCAUCGCAGGUACAGCCGGACGUAAGAACACGAGUUGUAUUUAAAGACUCCCUCCUGCGGGCCCAUAAAAACAAGAAUGUUGCUCACAACUAUAACAUCCGUUUCCAUGAAUUGCUUCCGUUUUUCCUUACAAGGAUAAUCACUGACCUUGAACAAACCGGACACAAAACGUCAUGUUUAAACAUA